AUAAGCAGCUAGCUCUCUGCAAAUCUCAUAUGGUUAUCCACUGAAGCUAAGCAGGGCUGCGCCUGGUCAGUACCAGGAUGGGAGACCACAUGGGAAAGCUAGGUUGCUGCCAGAA
rnacentral:rRNA from 1 species